UUUUCUUUGACAUCUGUAUUCUAGGUGAUGUAGUGGUGUAAUAAUGUGUUGUAUUGUAGGUGAUGUAUUGGUGUAAUAAUGUGUUGUAUUGUAGAUAUGUAGUGGUGUAAUAAUGUGUUGUAUUCUAGGUGAUGUGGUGGUGUAAUAAUGUGUUGUAUUGUAGGUGAUGUAGUGGUGUAAUAAUGUGUUGUAUAUGUGAUGUAGUGGUGUAAUAAUGUGCCUUAAGGCUCAGAACAUUCUUAGUCAAAGGUCAGGAAUUAACAGUGACCCAUUAAGCCAUGCAGAGACAUUCUCCAUCAGCAUGCCAGCUUUCCAUGUCAAAUUUGUCCUCAUUCAGUGCUGCCAGACAAAAAUGCAUCCAGUUACACGUUUUUUGAUGUUGUGGCUAUUGUAAUCGACUCUAAGGCAAGUGGGCUCAGACACUGAAAACGGUAUGUUUUUCCAGGCAAAGGUUCCUCUCUGGAUUGUAUAUAUACAGCUCUUGCGAUUAUUUUAGGGGAUGUGACAAAUGUAAAAAUGUCCUUAAGGUUUAACCAGACUUUUUUCUCUCUCAUUUAAUCAUUUGUAAUAAAAUCAUAGGAUAACGUGAAUUCAAAAUUCAGAUACGAUCGCCUAUGACCACUAGGGGGCAAUUCAUUUCAAUGUACCGUUGUCUCGACCACCUACCAGCUAGAUGGCGCUCACCUUACUGCUGUCCCCGACCCACUCAGCAACAAUGGUAUUAAUGCCGAUUUAGGUUCUCUGUUGUGUUCCUUUCCUCCAUGUUCUCAGUGGUCAGUACUUCUCAUCAAGGUAUCAAGGUCGUUGCAGUGAUG
ensembl:lncRNA